rnacentral:rRNA from 1 species
UACGUAGGGACCGAGCGUUGUCCGGAAUUAUUGGGCGUAAAGAGCUCGUAGGCGGUUUGUUGCGUCGGCUGUGAAAUCCCGAGGCUCAACCUCGGGUCUGCAGUCGAUACGAGCAAACUAGAGUGUUGCAGGGGAGACUGGAAUUUCUGGUGUAGCGGUGAAAUGCGCAGAUAUCAGGAGGAACACCGGUGGCGAAGGCGGGUCUCUGGGCAACAACUGACGCUGAGGAGCGAAAGCGUGGGGAGCGAACAGG